rnacentral:rRNA from 1 species
GGGCAGGGCGCAGCUAUACAUGCAGUCGAGCGAACUGACGAGGAGCUUGCUCCUUUGACGUUAGCGGCGGACGGGUGAGUAACACGUGGGUAACCUACCUAUAAGACUGGAAUAACUCCGGGAAACCGGGGCUAAUGCCGGAUAACAUAUCGAACCGCAUGGUUCGAUAGUGAAAGACGGUCUUGCUGUCACUUAUAGAUGGACCCGCGCCGUAUUAGCUAGUUGGUGAGGUAACGGCUCACCAAGGCGACGAUACGUAGCCGACCUGAGAGGGUGAUCGGCCACACGGGAACUGAGACACGGUCCAGACUCCUACGGGAGGCAGCAGUAGGGAAUCUUUCCGCAAUGGGCGAAAGCCUGACGGAGCAACGCCGCGUGAGUGAUGAAGGUCUUCGGAUCGUAAAGCUCUGUUGUUAGGGAAGAACAAAUGUGUAAGUAACUGUGCACAUCUUGACGGUACCUAACCAGAAAGCCACGGCUAACUACGUGCCAGCAGCCGCGGUAAUACGUAGGUGGCAAGCGUUAUCCGGAAUUAUUGGGCGUAAAGCGCGCGUAGGCGGUUUUUUAAGUCUGAUGUGAAAGCCCACGGCUCAACCGUGGAGGGUCAUUGGAAACUGGAAAACUUGAGUGCAGAAGAGGAAAGUGGAAUUCCAUGUGUAGCGGUGAAAUGCGCAGAGAUAUGGAGGAACACCAGUGGCGAAGGCGGCUUUCUGGUCUGUAACUGACGCUGAUGUGCGAAAGCGUGGGGAUCAAACAGGAUUAGAUACCCUGGUAGUCCACGCCGUAAACGAUGAGUGCUAAGUGUUAGGGGGUUUCCGCCCCUUAGUGCUGCAGCUAACGCAUUAAGCACUCCGCCUGGGGAGUACGGUCGCAAGACUGAAACUCAAAGGAAUUGACGGGGACCCGCACAAGCGGUGGAGCAUGUGGUUUAAUUCGAAGCAACGCGAAGAACCUUACCAAAUCUUGACAUCUUUUGACCGCUCUAGAGAUAGAGUUUUCCUCUUCGGAGGACAAAAUGACAGGUGGUGCAUGGUUGUCGUCAGCUCGUGUCGUGAGAUGUUGGGUUAAGUCCCGCAACGAGCGCAACCCUUGAGCUUAGUUGCCAUCAUUAAGUUGGGCACUCUAAGUUGACUGCCGGUGACAAACCGGAGGAAGGUGGGGAUGACGUCAAAUCAUCAUGCCCCUUAUGAUUUGGGCUACACACGUGCUACAAUGGACAAUACAAAGGGCAGCAAAACCGCGAGGUCAAGCAAAUCCCAUAAAGUUGUUCUCAGUUCGGAUUGUAGUCUGCAACUCGACUACAUGAAGCUGGAAUCGCUAGUAAUCGUAGAUCAGCAUGCUACGGUGAAUACGUUCCCGGGUCUUGUACACACCGCCCGUCACACCACGAGAGUUUGUAACACCCGAAGCCGGUGGAGUAACCAUUGGAGCUAGCCGUCGAAGGUGGACAACUGGUG